rnacentral:rRNA from 1 species
UGGGGAAUAUUGGACAAUGGGCGAAAGCCUGAUCCAGCCAUGCCGCGUGUGUGAAGAAGGUCUUCGGAUUGUAAAGCACUUUAAGUUGGGAGGAAGGGCAUUAACCUAAUACGUUAGUGUUUUGACGUUACCGACAGAAUAAGCACCGGCUAACUCUGUGCCAGCAGCCGCGGUAAUACAGAGGGUGCAAGCGUUAAUCGGAAUUACUGGGCGUAAAGCGCGCGUAGGUGGUUUGUUAAGUUGGAUGUGAAAUCCCCGGGCUCAACCUGGGAACUGCAUUCAAAACUGACUGACUAGAGUAAGGUAGAGGGUGGUGGAAUUUCCUGUGUAGCGGUGAAAUGCGUAGAUAUAGGAAGGAACACCAGUGGCGAAGGCGACCACCUGGACUAAUACUGACACUGAGGUGCGAAAGCGUGGGGAGCAAACA